rnacentral:rRNA from 1 species
AUUGAACGCUGGCGGCAGGCCUAACACAUGCAAGUCGAACGAGUGGCGGACGGGUGAGUAAGGUCUGGGAAACUGCCUGAUGGAGGGGGAUAACUACUGGAAACGGUAGCUAAUACCGCAUACCAUCAGAUGUGCCCAGAUGGGAUUGUCUAGUUGGUGGGGUAACGGCUUACAAAGGCGACGAUCCCUGGUUGGUCUGAGAGGAUGCCCAGCCACACGUGAACUUAGACACGGUCCAGACUCCGACGGGAGGCAGCAGUGGGGAAUAUUGCACGAUGUGCGCAAGCCUGAUGCAGCCAUGCCGCGUGUAUGAAGAAGGCCUUCGGGUUGUAAAGUACUUUCAGCGUGGAGGCGUUACCCGCAGAAGAAGCACAGGCUAACUCCGUGCCAGCAGCCGCGGUAAUAC